rnacentral:lncRNA from 1 species
GAAGUUUCCUAGUAAUUUCGUCGACGACUACAAUAUUAGAAGAAUAAGCUUGGCUCUAUAACUAUAAAGAGCUAUUGAUUUAAGUAAUUCAUGUAGUAGUUCUAUGUCUGUUUGACUAGUAGCAUUAGCAUAAGCAUGUACCGUAGGCUGUGUCAAGCACUCAUUUGCCUAAUUAAAGUGUAUUGUAUUGUGAUGUCCUAAUUAAAUGAAGUUGAUUAUGUUAGUCGUAGUGCGUCUAAAUGUUGAAACAUCUCCCCAAAUUUAUUAAAUAAGUGUAUGUAUUCAAAUUUAUUAACUUCUACACACGCUUUACAUGUAUACCAUAAUCGUUUUCUCAUCAAAAUUCAGACAAGUUUGUUAUCCUACUCUCGAGGGAAUGGUGUCCUCGAGCAAACUUCUCGUUGAUGCCAGCAUUUAGGGAGGAUCGUUGUUUUAAAAGGGAGAGAAGGUGUAAUUGACAAAUGACUUGACAUGAUUAUUGCUUUAGGGCUCGUUUCAACAACUUUGCCCUUUAACUAACACGAUGGUGAGAUGACAAAAAAUCUAAAGAGAACAUUUAGAAGAUAUGGAACAAGGUCGAAGUCGUGACAACUCAGCAACAACAAUCUAUUUCUCAGUCAACAUCCCAACUUUUAUAAAUAAAUGACGAUGAAGGUUGAAAAGUCUUUUGGUAGCUAUUAGAUAUAUUAUAGUAUCCUUUGGUAUUUUAAGUUAUAAAGGUUGUACAGUCGUUUGUUUGUAAAGGUAAUAUAGCCCUUUAACUUUUAAACUUAUAUAA